CGAACCGGCCUUUUUCAAUAGAUCCUGAGCGGGCAGGGUGUGGCUGAGCCCGUGGCACCCAGCCGGGAUUUCUUCAAAAUGGCGGACGCUGCAGCUGAAUUGCUGGAAGCUGUUGCUGGCAGGUCUGCCGCACAGCUCGCCUCCGCCGCCCACUGCUGUGCCACGUGGAUCGCCCUCCUGAACUCUGAACUCCUCAAACGUGCUCGACAAAACAUAAAUUACAUUUCUGGCGCGCUGUACGCGGUGAUGCAUCCCACUUGUCCUAAUUUGAUCAAAGCCCAUCGUUAGCUCUUCAGACAGCAGACUUAUUAAAACAUUUAUUUAAAUCGGUAGCAACACUUUAGAUUUAUAUGCAUGCAAAUAGUUAAGAAUUUACUUAUUUAUAAUGUGAAUGUCUUAACAACAGUAACACACAUAUGUUUUUAGCUCUUAAGUCCGUCAUAUACAGAGUGUAUGGUACCCUGUCCGAUACUUAAAGGAUAUCAAUGUGAAUUGAUAGGACAGGGACUUCAUAUACUUAUACUGUAUAUAAAUUGUAGUUUGUACGUAUCAAUAUGGUGACAAUCUCUAGCCUCAAUAAAGUCGCUGCGUAAAUUUUUAGUUUUAGCUCGUUCGUCUUACACACACGUUUUCAUGCUUUCUUCUCUGUCAGAUGUGUCAUAAUUGUAUCUUUUAAGAAUAUAAAGUAUUAAUAGUAGUAGUUGCAUGUUUAUUACCUUUACUCAUUAAUAAUGUAAGCCUUAGCAGUAAGUAAUAGCAGUUUAAAGUAUAGUUCUAGGCAUUAGGUUAAGUUAUAUUAUAAGUAUAGUAUAGUUUUAAGUUUUAUAAUAAGUAUA